rnacentral:lncRNA from 1 species
AUGAUUCAGCGCUGUGGGCCUGCGGACGGACGGGGGGAAGCGGGGCCCUGCAGGGCCCCCCCAGGACACAGGGCUGUGGGCUAUGAGUCCUGCCUCACCCUGCAGCCUGCACUGCCUCUGCUUCUCCAAGCAGGAGCCGCCGAGUGAUUGAUGGGCCCCAGCUUGAAUGGAAAGUCCAGAUUCCAGCAACACAGCUUAAGAGGUGAUGGCGAUUUUCAACUCAUUCCCGUUACAAACAGCCGACCUUCCUACCGAGUUCAAGUACCUUCUGCCUGGCCUGGAAGAACAAUAUCUCUCUGUCUCCCUCUUCCACUGGCCCUCACCUGCCUUCCCCUGAACAUGCAUUUUGCCUGACAGGAGACAGAGGCAGUUGGUAAGUAUACUACGCUGGCUUAGUGCUUUCCAGAAGGGAGGUGGCGUGAAAGACCCCAGUGCUCAAGUGUUCACGACGGACUCACACAGGCUGGAGACAGACGCCUCCAUCCUCCUGCACACAGUCCUGUGCCUGCUUCUGCAGUGACUCCCUCUCCCUCUGUGGAAACACAUGAGGAAUACAGGAAUAAGGGUUAUCUUCUACUGAAGCCUGCCUAGUGUUUAUUACAGAGAUGGAGUCUUGCUAUAUGGCCCAGCUGGUAAUGCCUAGAUUCUUGAGUCCCUCCCUGGCUCAUCCCUGGGAGCAGCACUGAACCCCUUGUCUGACACCUGUCUGGAAAUGGAGCCUGCACAUUGACCCUAGAUGCUUGCAGCUUGGUCCAGGAGGCCAGCAGGACCAGAGAGAAGACCACAGCGACACAUGGGGAUGGCUGUCCCACAGGCAGAAAUGAGCAGCCGGGAGGAAGCCCAGGCAGCCAGCCACCCAGCUCCCUCCACAUCGUGGCCCUAGAACGGAGUCUUGAAGAAUAAGAAGCCACAGCUUGUCAGGGAAUCAGGCUGGAAAAAUGUUAUGAGACUGAGUAAGACCAGAGAUUCCUCAGCAGUGCCUGGAGAAGACCAGGAGAGGAAGCAGAAGACCCUCCUCAAAGAAGCAGCCUUCACCUCCAGACCUCCCAGCGGGACUUAGACAAUGGGGUUAGGCAGUCACAUGUCUGCACGUGGAAACUUUCUGGGACUGUGCUUGGAUCCUGGCUCUGCCUUUUACUAGCCAUGUGACCUUGGGAAAAUCACUUGACUUCUCCGUGCAGGAUUCCUCAUCUGUAAAAAUGGUCUAAGAUUAGGAGCCACCUCAAGGUUGUUGUAGGAAUUAAAUUAAUUCAUGUUUAUAAAGUGCUUUGAACAGCGUUUGGCACAUGGUAAGUGCUAUGUGGUAAGUGCUGUCUAUUGAUUACAUAAAUAAAAGUGAUCACCAUUAGACUUUCCAUGCAGAUGAUAUUAUGCAUAUACAUAUCUCCCGCAUAUGACGUCAUUGGAUCGUUUUGCAAUGGUGGGGGGUUUAUUCUUUUCCUUUUUGUUUUCUUCUUUUUUUUGUCAGAUGAAGAAACUGAUGGGAAGUGAAUUGGUUUGUAUUAAACAUUAGGUUUGCUAGGUCUCUCACAUAUUUAUUUAGUCCUCAUAACAAUUGUAUAAAAUAAAUAUUAUUUAUUCAUUUAUUUAUUUGUAAAGAUGGGUCUCGCUAUGUUGCCCAGGCUGGUCUUGAACUCCCGGGCUCAAGUGAUCCUCCUGCCUUGGACUUCCAAAAUAUUGGGAUUAAAGGUAUGCGCUACUGCACCCGGCCUAAAAGAAAUACUAUUAUCCCCAUUUUACAGAUUUGUAAACAGAAGCUGACACUUCAGAGUUCCAUCCUAAUGAAAGUAGGAUGUGACAGGGGAGCAAAUCUGCUUUGCCCCUGCCCAAGGGCUGGCAGCUCCUCCUCCUGGGGUGCAUGGUGAGUGGGUACACCACUCAUCUGUAUGUACCCGGCAGAAGCUGUCAAUUCAGUUCACGUCACUCAAGUUGAAUGGAUGUAAAACACACACAGAAGCACCAAGUAAUUGCAUUGUUUUCAAAUUACUCACCUCUAGGAGAAUUAAAUGAGCAAACGGAAGAGCAGCAACCCUGAGUUACAUUUCUCAAGACACCGGGGCUCUUGAUGGCACAGCAGCAGCUUGCUAGAGCUUGGUAAAGAGACUUGGGCCUGGUACCUGAAGGGCAAUUCCUUGGCCAUGACAUUGUAGGGAAAGACCUCUAUGGGUGUUGAAAAGACAAGGCGAGGACAAGAAGAGUUGAAAAGGAGCUGUUCUGAAGCCACCUGGCUGUGGAUGGAGGAAGCCACAUGUAGCUUAGGUAGCCUGCUAUUGUAAUUUUUUCUGCAACUGAAGAAUUCGAAAUGGGUUUGGUGGGUAGCGAAGGGCAGAAUCUGGCUUCAAGGUGACAGAGUUUGCAUAGAGAUGGCCUUCUUGAGCAAAGGUAGUGACUCCUACAUUUUUUUUUUUUGUAGAGUUGUGAUACCCAUGAGUUAGUCAGCUUGGGCUAUCAUAACAAAAUACCACACAUUGGUUGGCUUAAACAACAGAAAUUCAUUUUCCUGUAAUUCUGGAGGCUGGAAGUCCAAGAUCAAGGUGACGACAGAGUUGGGUUUCCUCUGAAGCCUCUCUCCUUGGUUUUCAGAUGGGUGUCCUCUUGCUGUCUCUUCAUGUGACUGUCCCUCUGCAUGUGUGCCCCUGGGGACUCUUUCUUAUCUUAUAGUGACACUAGUUCUAUUGGAUUGAAGUGUACCCAUACGACCUCAUUUAAACUUAAUUACAUAUUGUAAGGCCCUAACUUCAAAUACAGUCACAUCCUGAGGUACUGUGUAUUAGGGCUUCAACAUAUAAAUUUUGGGGCAAUCCAGUUCAGCCCAUAAAAUCCCUUUUUGGUUGCUUGAUUCUGUUUAUUUGGUGUCAUGCCUUCCUUUUCCUAAAGAACUUCAUGAAUAGAAUUACUUUCUAAGUGAAAGGAACAAAACUGAUUUUUAUUAAAAAUUAUUUUGAGAUGCUUGUGACAAAUUUUGAAGUAAGUGAAGAUUUUCCUGGAGCUUCUACAAAAUCCUGGCUGAGAAUCCCUGCUUUCUGGACAGUUGAGAAGGAAAUACACUUAGUACAGCUGUUAGAGAGAUAUAGUUGCAACCACUGAGUGCUUAUUAUCUGCCAACUUAAAUAUAUUGCCCAAGGGAAUAACAAAUAUUCUAGUGUUCUUGUUAAGUAUAUUGUCUAAGGUCACACAGCUCUUAAACAACAGCUUCAGGAUUUGAACCUGGAAUCUAUCUGACUCCUAAGUCCAGAUGCUGUUCACCACAUUAGGUUGAAGCAUGGCCAGUGUUCAUAACAUACAACUAUGUCUCCAUAUCUUUUGCUAACCAAUGUUCUUGUAUGUGCAUACCUUACAGGGCAGCCAUUCACCACAAGCCCUACUAGAUGGCUUCCUGUAAUAAGGGUAGAACAGUAGUACUCUCCUUUUGAGAAGUUAUUUGUAAUUUUGUUGGUGGGCUGACAUUUAGGCCCUGCUCUCCAGCCCCAGAGGGGAUCCCAUAACCUAGAUCAGGCCAAUGAUGAUUAUCUCCGUGACUGUAGUGGCUGGUCCAGCGGGGAGGGUCAGGCAGGUAAGCUGGCCCAACCUGAGUCCUUCUUGAGGAUUUUAGAAACUGAAGGUAGGAGAGAAAAAUUCUCUCUUUUCUUCUGGGGAACGGGAUGAAGGUGGUGGGUAGGCAGAGCUGUUGGGAUGUGGAUCCAGGGAUUCUGGAAGUCCUGUCCUCCACCAUGUAAAGAAUACAUCCUGCAGAAGGAGAGAAGGGAGCCAGCACACAGAGAAGCAGAGUCAGGAGAUGGAGAAGGAGAAUCCUGAGAGCCUGAAGGUCCCUGGGUCCAGCCAUUGUCAAGGCCGAGUUCUACCGUCCUUAAGUUGUUUACCUUUCUUUCUUGCUUGCUUCUGUUAGAAGAUGAACACUCAAUGAAAAAUCACCAAACAUCUGAGGAAAGCCAUCAAAAUGAAAUAAACGAAACACACAAGUUCCUAAACACAAGUGAACAGCGUGGGCUGGGUUUUUGUCGCUUGGAACUGGAAACGCUGACGAUAAUGCUGACCUCUGAGCAGACCCACGUGAGGGGCAGCUGUGGUGUGGUGUGAUGAUGCUGGGAUAGGCACUCAGAUGGUUGAGUCUGAGUUUGGCUCUGAUAUUAUAUCAACUGCAUGGGCAGCUGUGGUGUGGUGUGAUGAUGCUGGGAUAGGCACUCAGAUGGUUGAGUCUGAGUUUGGCUCUGAUAUUAUAUCAACUGCAUGGGCAGCUGUGGUGUGGUGUGAUGAUGCUGGGAUAGGCACUCAGAUGGUUGAGUCUGAGUUUGGCUCUGAUAUUAUAUCAACUGCAUGGGCAGCUGUGGUGUGGUGUGAUGAUGCUGGGAUAGGCACUCAGAUGGUUGAGUCUGAGUUUGGCUCUGAUAUUAUAUCAACCGCAUCAUUUUGGGGAAGACACAAUUUCUCAGAAUUUUAUUUAGUUGUAAAAUAAAGAUAAUGAUAUUACAUGCUCUGUCUACCAUCUAGAGUUUUUGUCAAGACAAACUGAAGUAAACCGUGUUAGAGAAAAAUGUUACAAAAUUUUAAGCGUGAAGUGAGUAAACAGUGACUCUGUCCUGAGACUACAGCGGAAAGCUGCCUCACAGGCCACAUGUGAAAAUCUUCUGCCAGAGAACAUGAACACUCAAUGAAAAAUUGCCAAACAUCUGAGGAAACCCAUUAAAAUGAAAUAAACAAGACAAGUUCUUAUAAUCAAGGAAACAUAGAUAAUAGAGCCAUCAGCACAGGCCUUUAAAAGAAAAGCAAUUAUAUUUAAUAUCUUUAAAUAGAUAAAAGAGGGCAUUAUAUGCAUGAAAGAAGAAUAGGAAAUUAUAAAACAAGGACAGUUUUUUUUUUUUUUUUUUUUGAUAGGGUCUCACUCUGUUGCUUAGUGUGGAGUGCAGUGAAUGGCGUGAUCAUAGCUCACUGCAGCCUUGAACUCCUGGACAAUCCUCCCGCCUCAGCUUCCCAAAGAGCUAGGAGUACAGGCACAUGCUAUGAUGCUCAGCUAAUUAACAUUGUGUAUGUGUGUGUGUGUGUGUGUGUGUGUGUGUGUGUGUGUGUGUGUAAAAAUAGGAUCUUGCUAUGCUGCCCAUGCUGGUCUUAAACUUCUGGUUUCAAGUGAUCUUUCUGCCUCGGCUUCCCAAAGUGCUGGGAUUACAGGCAUGAGCCACUGUACCCAGCCCAAAAUUGUUUUAUAUGAGACUAGUUAAAGAGCUUAAAGAUGAACCAUAUGAUUACUAAGGAACAGAAUGGAUUCAAUCAAAUUUUUAUUAAAGCCCACCAGGUGCUCUCUGCUAUCUGAUGCAGGGGAUACAAUAAUGGACAAAACCAGACAUGGCCUCUGGACUCACAUACUAAUAAGUAAGAAAGGAAUUUGUACAAUAACCACACCAACCAAUUUCAGACUGGGUUUGAUGAUGAGAUGAUUAGGGGGGUCAGGCAGAGCUUCCCUAGGGGAGUGACAACAGAGUUGAGAUCUCAAGGAUGAGUCGGAAUUAACCAGGUGAAAAGGGAGAGUGAGUUCCAGGUAGAAAGGGCAGAAUAUGUAAAUGUGCAAAUCUAAGAGAAUGCAGCAAGGCUGUGGUAGGUGGGCCAGAAAGACUGAGGGGGAGCCUUAGAGAGUCUAAGGUUGGGGAAGGGGUGAAGCAGGGACAGAUCAUGUCAACAAGAAGCCUUUAUAAUUUUGGACUUUAAGCCAACUUUUGUUAGGAAGGAAGGAAAAUUCUGUUUUUGCAAAAAGAGAUUUAAAACCCUCCUCCCAUUAUCCAGUAUUCAGAAUACUUUUCCUCAGAGAGAAAAUGCAAACUUCAGGUUCGAGAAGGAGAGUUUUAUUAUCACACAGCUCACAGUCAGCGUUUUGCUGAGCACAGGAGGAAGUGAAACUGCCCAUAGAAAUCAUGCAGUGAUAAAACUGAGAGAUGGGGCCCUUGGGGACCGCAGGUGGCAAUUGUGCCAGUUGAGACAGGGACAGCCCCUGUGAUCCAUGUUCAUGCUGAGGUUAAACAGAGCCCAGGCAGUGGGGAGGGGAAAACAAGGCAGCAACCUCUGAAAGAAGUAGAUAUGGCAUGAGGAGGGAGGGAGAGAGGCACAGAGGAAGAUAGAGACAGAGACAGAGAGAAGGAGGAGAAGAGGGCACACACUUAGUUCACGAUGCCUUUGAGUUCUCUAUUCCAGUUCUUAUGAGGCCUUGCUGAGCUAGUGUUCUACUUUGUGGGUUUCCAUGAACUUCCUUUUAAGGUUCCGCUUAUAUUCUUACAGCUAAUCCCUUUUUAAUCUCCUGAGAAAAGAAAGAAAACGAAGUAGAAUGAUAACUAUUUUCUACUUAAAGACUGCCAUAUUCACAGGGAAUAAGCAAAGGCUGAGAUUUAGUAACAGUGUUCUUGUAAUAAGAGGCUUGACAUUCUAGCCUGACAGCAAGGAAUAAAAGCAGAAGAACAUUUUUCCUGGACCAUAACCAUUCCCUUAGCUGGUGGAAUAAAGGUUAUUGCCACAUCCCUAAAGAAGAGCAGCUGAAGACAUAUAAUAAUUCUGUAAUCUGUAUAGUCAGAUGCAUAUCAAUAUUUUGGUACUCUUUGAUUUUUAUACAAAAUAUGACUUUAGCCAUUCUUAACCUCUUAAUAUCUUCUUCAUACAGACACUAAAAUAAUUUUUGAAAUAUUACUGUAGACUAGCACUUCCCAAAUAGUGUUCCUUGAAAGGCUAUCAUCUCUAGAUAUAUAACUGUACUUUGUGUGAUAAAAGACUAGUUGGUUAAAAAAAUUGGGAAACACUCUUGGAGAUUCAAAAUGCACAUUUGUAUAUUAAAGGCUCUGAGAAGUCCUUCAGUGAAGAAGCUUGUUGAACUUUAACCCAGCAUGCCCCAAAUUCAUUUAACUAUUUUCGCCCAUGCUGGAGUGCAGUGGUGCGGUCUUGGCUCACUGCAACAUCUGCCUCCUGGGUUCAAGUGACUCUCCUGCCUCAGCCUCCAAAGUAGCUGGGAUUAUAGCCACCUGCCACCAUGACCAGCUAAUUUUUGUAUUUUUAGUAGAGACGGGGUUUCACCAUGUUGGCCAGGCUGGUCUUGAACUCCUGACCUCAAGUGAUCCACCCUCCUUGGCCUCCCAAGGUGUUGGGAUUACAGGCGUGAGCCACUGUGCCUGGCCUAACUAUGAAACCUUUUUUUUUAAUGAGCACCUAUUAAAAUCCUUCUGGACACAAAUAAUAUGAGGAAUAGAGCUUAGGAAACACUGUUAUUAUUCUAAGAAUGUUCAUGUGGGCUAUGGUGUGGUAAAGUUGGCAUGACCGCAAGAGGGAAUGAGAAUAAAGCUUGAAAAGAAAAAGUUGAUUAUACUCACAGAUCCCAGAGAGGAAUUCGCCACAUGCCAUACUGGGCCACAGGAGAAGCACCAGGUUUGGGUCAGGUGGCAGAAGACAAGAGUGCGGGGAGAGCCUGAGAUAGAGCUGGGGUUUCUGCGGGAAACGCAAGGCAGGGCAGAGUGGACAGAUUAGGGCUGACUAGUUUGAAUAAUUCUGGUGGGCUUUGAGCUAUAGCAGUGGUCUCUAGUUGCCUGGUACCUGGCACUGGGAUGAUUUAGGACAGAGGAAAUAUUGGCUUGAUAUGUGAGAGUUAUAGAAGGAGGUGGUUGAGGCUAGAGAUGUGGGAUUGGUUUGUUUGUACAUAAGAAACAUACUCCUUGCUGAGUCUUUUACUGAGACUAAGAAGGGACUGGCCAGGAAGGAACAGUCUCCCCUUGGUCAGAAAGCUUUUUAAGAUGUCAAAACAUCACAAAAUGUAAAAAAUACAAAAACACAAUCAAUACAGUGAUACAGGGAUAUUUUGGAUGAGUGUACCCUGAUUGACUUCAAAAGUCUAGAUUUUGGAGACCAAAGUGGGCAAAAACCAAGUAAGAUGAGCAAUUCCUCAUUAAAAAAUUUUGUUUUUAUUGUAUCAAUCACAGUCUAGUCAGAAAAAGAAACCAACCUAUGUAUUUCAUACAGAGGAUAUUUAAUACAGGCAAUAGGCUACAACGAUCUUAGACAGUCAAAGAGCAAAAAAGGGGAAAUUAAGGUAAAUCAGAUAUUAUCUAGGGCUGGAGGAACAAAAGAAUGGUGAUGGGGUUUCCAGAACCUAAGAGCACAGAAAGUGGAUUACAGCCUCAAAAGCGUGAUGGUGGUGAUGUGUGCCUGUAGUGCCAGCUACUUGGGAGGCUGAGAUGGGAAGAUCACUAGAGCCUGGGGAGGUUGAGGCUUCAGUGAGCCAUGAUCACACCACUGCACUCCAGCCUGAGUGACAGACCAAGACCCUGUCUCAAAAGAAGUAAAAAGCUGAGAUGGUGGAAGAAACACUAUCAGAAGAAGAAAGGAGAGAAGCAGGAGAAGAGAGAGAGACAGAGAGAGAAAGAGAGAGAGAGAGAGAGAGAGAAACAAAGACAUCUCCCUUCCUCUCUUGUCUUGAUUUUCCUGCCAGUUAGACAAAACUUAACUGGAAGCCAACUGCCAAAGAGAUCUGGGAAAUGUAGUUUUCAGACUUCCAGCCCCAUUAUUAUAGAGGGAAGUUAUGGGACCAUGCUUAACAAAGCUCAGUUUUGGCUUGGGGCAGUUUUGUAAAGAGCUACAUAUUACUAGCUAUUAUUAUGAGGCUAUUGUUCAAGUCUUAAUGGAUCUGCCAAACAAUCAUUUUGACUUAUACUCUCUUCUAAAUUAAUUAGUAGUUUGACUAAUCAGUGUGAUCAUUUAAGGCCAACAUGCCCCAAGGGAAAACGUGUAAAUAAGUUUUUUUGAAUUAUUCAAAUAAGAGAAAAUUCUAUUUGAAAAAGAAGUCUCUAGCAGUAAAACUUUUCACAGAAAAAAACCCCCAAAACCACACCUGAAAAGAACCUGAAUGUUUAAUAAUAGGUGAUGAACUAGGAUAAUUUUAGUAUAUUACUUAGACUCUUAUGUAUUUAUCACAAAUAAUUAGUGUUGGUGUUACAUAAGAAAACCCAUUCUUGGGGAAGGAUUAAAUGCUAACCAAAGCAACUUAUUUUUAAUUAAUAUUUUUAGACUCUAUGCUGUCAUACUGAACUCACUGCUAGCUAAGAGACCUAUCAGAGAUUUAAAUAUAUUUUCUCAAGGUUUUUUCUGGGUUUUCUUUUGGUUCUAUCUAUGUGACAGAGGCUCUUUCUAAAAGUAUGUAGUUCACUGUGUGUUGGCUCCAGCAGUAACCAUCCUCACUGCACCACACACUCCUCUGUAGAAGUGCAUUCAGUGGGAGUUCCCUCCGGCCCCAGGACGGCAGCAGCAGCCAAGUGCUGAGUGGAUUGAGUGCCAGGUGGAUCCGAGACUUUUCCUCCCUUCCAGAAGGCACUAGAAGCUCCUCUAACUGAAGGCAGGGUGGGUCAUGUGGGGCCGGCUGAAAUGCUCCAACUUUUUCAUAAAGCAUGGGUGGUCCAGUUUAGACUGAUGGGAAUCUUCCUGUUAUUCUUUUUAAAUGGAUGAUACCGAUGGAAAUAAAAGGUGGAAAAUAUAUUUAAAAAAAGAAAACCCAUUCUUUUAAACAAUAUAUAUUGAGCACCUAACAUAUGCCAGGCACCAUAAUUAAUGACAGGCAUAAAAACACAGAUGGGACCUUGGCCUCUGUUCUUAUGGUUCCUGUAAUCCCAUGGAGGAGAUAGCCUUAUAAACAUGAAAAAGGGUUUACAACUUACCUAAGAAAUUAGAAUGGCAAAUUUUUAUGUAUACAAAUUUUCUAUAAUGAACAUGUAUUAUAUGUAUAAUAAAAGUAGUAAAUUCUUGUAAUAUAGUUUUUAUAACUAUGUAAAAUACGUAAUUAUUAGUAGAGAACACAAAAGAGUGAAAAUAAUUGUGUUAGGGUAAUCCUAAUAUGAUAUUCAGUUUUAUUUCAACUUGGCCAGGUUAUAGUCCCAAUGAUUUAGUUAAACAUUAAUCUAGAUAUUGCUGUGCAGGUAUUUUGUAGAUGUGGUUGACAUCUUCCAUCAGUUGAUCUUAUGUAAAGGAGAGGUCCCUGGGUAAUGCGGGUGGGCCUCAUCCAAUCAGCUGGAAGGCCUUAAGGGAAGACACUGAGGUUUCCUGAAUAAGAAAUUCUCCCUGAAGGCUGUAGCAUCAGCACUAGUCACAAUAGCAAAGACAUAGAAUGAACCCAGGUGCCUACCAAUGGUGGAUUGGAUAAAGAAAAUGUGGUACAUGUACACCAUAAAAUACUACACAGCCAUAAAAAAGAAUGAAACCAUGUCUUUUGCAUCGACGUGGAUGCAGAUGAAGGCCGUUUUCCUAAGUGAAUUAAUGCAGAAACAGAAAACAAAAUAUCACAUAUUCUCACCUAUAAGUGAGAGCUAAACAUUGAGUACACAUGGACAUAAAGAUAGGACUCCAAAAGGGGGAAGAAGGGAGGGGGACAAGGGUUGAAAAACUCCCUAUUGGGUACUCUGUUCACUAUCUGAGUGAUGGGACCAAUAGAAGCCCAAACUUCAGCAUCAGGCAGUAUGCUCUUGUAACAAACCUGCACAUGUACUCCCUGAAUCUAAAAUUUUUUUUCAAAGACUACAGCAUCAGCUCCUGCUGCAGCCUCCUGGGCUGUCUUUGGAUUUUGGACUUGUGUGAGCCAGUUCCUUAAAAUAAACAUCUUUAUUUCAUAUGUAUAUGUAUAUAUUACACACACACACACACACACACACACACACUUACCUUCUGUUGGUUCUGUUUUUCUGGAGAACCUGACUGAUACAGCUACUGCCUUUUUCUUUUAAAUAGUCCUUAAUUUAAUGUUGGUUUUAUCAUGUAUAAUUUCUUUAAAGGAUCUUCUGCCUUUAUGAGCCCCUUUGACUAUCUUUUCUCAGUCCUCCAGCAACUUCUGCCCACCAUUGGCUUACAGAUUCCCAAAGCCUGUCUGUUAAGGCAGAAUCUAAUGGAGACAAAGGCCAGAGUGUCUUAACUUGCAUAUUUCCUUUUUUCUCUCCAAACUGGCUACUGAGCAAGGGCAGUGGUGGCUCUCAGGCUCAAGGCCAGAACAGCUCUGUGCAUGCCUGGACUCCAUCAGCCCUUUGUUGGAUCCCAGAGAGCUGUGCUCCCAUCAAGGGACAGUGGCCCAUCGAGGGCAGUAUUUUUUGACAACCCAGGGCAGUUUGGCUAAGACUAGUACAAAAGUCCCAGGAGCCCUGGGUGGUGUGCCAUCCCCAGCAUUCUUCAACCCCCACCUCACCUAGAAGGGGAUUGGACAGUGAGCUGUUAGUGAUUCACUCUUCAGUCUGAAGCAUGGUCUUGUAUUUCUUGAGAGGUGGCAUUGUCAAAUAAACGCAGGUUCUGGGAACAGAACCUUGGGUUGCAAUUUCAGCUGAGCCACUUUCUGGCUGUGUGAGUGCAUCAAAUUUAUUUAACCAUGUUGUGACUCUGUUUCUCAUCUGUGAAGUGGGAAUAUCUAUUCAACCAAACUUGCAGGGUUGUGGUGAAGAUGUCAUAUAUAAUGUGUAAUUUUCUAGCACAUAGUAGGGGAUCCCACAAAUUGUAAUCACUAUGAUGAUUAUAUCUUUGAGGGUGAGGAUGAAUUUUGGAAAAGCCUUUGUACACCUUUCCUAAGAAGUGGAGACCAUAUCACCUCCCACAUCCAGCUGAGGAUAAAGAAAGAAAGGAUGCUUGCAAAGCACACUGAACCCUGAGAGGAUGCCAGGAUUUCACUGUCAUUUAAUAUUGCCACCAUGUUGGUUAAUAACAUAUUGACCAACUCUACAAAUAGUAGAGUAAAUUUACUAUCACUCAGAAAUUUUGUUUUUGCAGCUAUGUUCUUCUCCCAGAAAAUAUGCAAACAGUAAAUAAAUAGCUCUUCUCUUUUUCUUUCUUUCUUUCUUUCUUUCUUUCUUUCUUUCUUUCUUUCUUUCUUUCUUUCUUUCUUUCUUUCUUCUUUUUUCUUCUUUCUUUCUUUCUUUUUUUUCUUUCUUUUUUUUUUUUUUUUACCUCCUGCAUCAUAUUUAUAAUUAUCUUGGCUUGGUGGACAGGUGCCUGUUUGUGCUCCCACAUUCUCCUAGGCCCCAGGACUCAAUGUUAGUCAGCUUUCAUAUAUCUGCAUGUGGAUUAUCCACUUAAUGAGGCAUCUGCCAGGAAAGUUUUAAUCCUAACCAAGCUUUCUCCUAGCAUCUCCCUCUCCCUCUUUUCCCUCCCUCAGCCCUCACCCAGCUGAUGUGUGCUUAGGAAAUGCAAACUAAUUUUAAAAUUCUCUAGAGCAAAACAUGAUUAGAAUGGUUAAGUCUGCUGCCAAAAAUAAAAUCAGCUAAUGCAUUCCAUAUAUUUAGAUUUCCAAAAUUAAGUUGAAAGGAUGCUUAGUUCAUCCAAAGUUUGGUUGAUACACAUCAUCCCGUAUCUCUGCUAGUUGACCCUACUUUUUCUGGCAGCAAUAAAUUUGGCUGUCCUGCAAAUGGCAUCACCUUUUCCACAUCCCAGGGCAGUAUUUUUCCUCUCUCAGCCUGCUGAAAAUGGGGUCCCAUUCCCUGUCCAAGAUGGUGAAGAACCUCUACCAUGCUGGGGAGAAGCAGCAACCAAGAAACACUUCUGGCUCUGUCUAAACUUAGGUUCUCCUCUUCUUUCAUUCCAUCUAUUCAGCUUUGCUGGAUGGUCAUGGAUUCAUCUGGGGAAAGGUGCUUCAGUUAAACCAAGUGCUGGUACUAAGAGAUAUGAGAAAGUCUUAGAAGUCAUGUUGUUGCCCGCAAGGAGCUCACAAUCUCUUUGCGGAGACAAGAUUAGCAUUACAGUACAGCGUACAUGACAAAAUACAAUUGAUUGCUAAAUUUUUUGGCAGAGAAUAUAAGGAGAAACCUAAGGGAGAGAUUAUCAGAAGGGCUGGAGCAGUUUUCAUGAUGAAGGAGGCACUUGUGUUGGGAGGAGGAUAGGUUACGGGAAUCGAGAGGGCAUCUCCGGUGAAAUAAUCAACUGGAGCAAAUGUAACAAUGUAGAAAUGAGCAAGGCUCAUGGUUGCAGGACAACAAAAGAAAUUAGCUUGACUUGAAUAGAAGCACUGUAUUAGGGAGUUGUAGAAAGUAGAGGUGUUUUAAGACUCUUUUGGUUGUAGGGAGCAAAAAAACCAAUCUGAUCUAUUUUAAGAAAAAAGGGGAAUUUAUUUGAAGGAUAUAAAGGGAUGUCAUGGGCCUCAAGGACAGUGGUGCAUGGAAAAUUGUGUCUGGAUCCAGGAAGUUCUCACGGCAUCUCUUGUCUUCAUUCCUCUGCAGAGCUAACUUCUUCAGUUGCCCGCAGCAUCUUGAGUGCUCUCAUUCAUUUUCCAGUCUACUGGCUGUUAUUCUACCUCAAUUCCAAAUUCCUGGGAGAGAGAGAACCUGUGGGGUUGCACUGUGUAAGCACAGACAUGGCUGCUGGUGCCCCUCCUGGGUGGGAGGGUUGGAGUGGCGAGGGAGUUGGGGUCAGUCCUAGGAAAGGAGAAAAAGAGUGAAUUCAACAGGUGAGUGAGAAUGGCUAGGACAGGCCACCUGCCAUUUGCUUCUUUCAGAGUCUGUGAGGAAAACUGGGUGAAAAGACUCCAGUUGUUUGGGAUUCUAUAAGGUAUCCCACUUUCGGUAACUCUUGAAAAAUCCCAAUUUUGAAAGCAGAGAAACUGGCUUGUGACUACUCACUUCGUGAAACAGAUAAACCACAAUCCCUUUCAGCUCUCAGUGACGCUUUCCCAUUAGGUUUCUAAUUAUGCCCAUCUUAUCUGUAAUGCACCCUUAAUUUGGGGAACUUCCUUUAGUGGGAUUCAGGGUCCCACCCUGGGCCCAACCCAGGGCCCAACCCAGGCCCGGCACCCUCCAUGCUGGGAGGACCCAGGAGGGAGAGAUGCUCAUCGCAGUUGGCCAAUGGCUGCCUGCUGGUUGAAAUGUGAGCUUCCUGAGGGCAGGAAUAGGUCCUCUAGACACCUUUAUAUCCAUCCGAUGCCUGCUACGUAUUGAUACUAAUGAAUGCUUAUUGAGCAGAAUGAAUAAAGUCAGUUCCCAGAUAUAAGAAAUUCAUAGCCAAGGAGCAGCUUAAGGAGAAUAUAGCUUUAUUAUAAAUGAGGGAAAUAAUCAUAGUAAUAUGUCCCUUCCUGCAGAAACAUUAUAUAUGGCACUACUUCUGGUCCUGCCAACAGUGUCUCUUGCGGGCUGGAUGACCCCAAGUUCUAUUUAGAUUUAGGGCAUAUUUUGACUGACCCACCUCAAAUCGUGCCCUGAGACCUUUCGAAUAUCUUCCAUCCAAAGGGGAGUCCCAUGCCAAGCUGACCCCAUGUGUGGCUGCCUCGCUUUGGGAAGGGUGGGAAGCUGGCUUCAGUCACCAGAAAGAAAAACCCCACCCCUCCCAUGGUGGCCCAGGGGCGGGGUGGGCGGGGUGGGGUAGAGAGAAGGAACCGACCUCCCCCAACCUACCAGCCCCCGGGUUCAGCCGGCUCCAGGUGAAAGGCGGUCCAGAGGUUGGCCCACCCUGGCGAACUCCUUGCCUUCCAAGAGAAGAAGACGACAAAUGAGACAAAAUGAAAAAUAUAAUGAUGCAUAUUAUAUUAAUCAUCCUCUCUUUUUCUGACACAAUAAAUCUUCUCUUUAAACUCAGGGUAGCGAUUGCAUCAUCUCCCUCUCCCCUCGAAACAGCACAGAUUAAGAUAAAGUGAUAGUGCUGUGUCAAAGAGAGCUUUACUGCCACACUUGGGAUACAAAGAGAGAGGUUAAUUUAUCAUCGCUGGGGAGAACUGACAGAAGAGAGAUAUACUACCGAAAGGGGAUUUAGCACAGGGCCAAGAAACUUCACACUAUUUUUACCAUCUGUCACAUGCUCUAACAAAGCAGGGCAAAAUAUGAAGAAAGGAAAAAUGAACUAUCAAACACUGAUGUAAUGCAGCCCAUAAAUCUAAUUUAAUUACUUUGCAUGGAGACAGGUCCUCGAGUCUGUGUGAAUAUACUGGAUUUUCUUGGCAACUUAACAACUAAGUGUUUUAAUAACAUCACACUAUAAUUUAUUCUGCUUGAAACACAAAACCCCUUUUGUGAGAGUUUCAUUUUUGAGAACUGUUAAUUUUUUCGGCUAAUGUCAAAACUGGCAUAAAUUCACAUGUGAACUUGAAGCCUGACUGUGAAAAAGGCUUAGGUUACUGCAUGCCUUUUUAUUGUUUGGCACUUUUUCCCCCUUCUGCAUGCAUUAGAAAUAAUUGGGCUUUGUUGAUGACUUAGGUGAGGAGAGUUGUCUUGCAAUUAGGUUUAAAUAUAAUGACAAAGGGUGUGUGGGGGAAAUCUUUGUAAAAUAUAAAGAGGUAAGAAAAUGCAAUGGGGAAAAAAUCCUUAUUUUCCAGCAGAAUAGCAAAACCUCAAGUGCAAUAUUCCUGGAAUCAGGCUGUCCCCAGAACUAUGAGAAUUUCACUCUGGAGGAUGUAAGAUCACAGGGCCAAAGGGACGCUGGGAAGGCAGGUCUGCCCUAGAGGGAACAACCAGGAGGAGAAAAUAAAUCAAAAAUAAAAUUAAUAUUCAUUGGGUGUCUUCCCGAAUUUGGAUGCAGUUACAGAAAUUAUUGUUAAUAAUGAAACCCAUAUAUCAAAGGUUAUAAAAUUCAUCUGUGCUAGGACACUAUUUUUUUUAGGCUUUGUUCUGAACCAUUAAAGAUGACAUAUUGCAUUUGUGUGCCUCUGUGUAUAAUAAGAUACAUUUAGGUCUGAAUCUAACCUAAACUGGCAAUUUUGGCAUUGAACUCAAGUUCUUAAAUGGGGGCCACGACACUACAGUCCAGGGGAGGUCAGCUGAACCCAUCCGUUCUCCCAUGACCUCACCCACUAAGGCAGGAUGGAUGGGUAAUUAAUUUGUUAGAUCAUCAGUGAUUCAUGUUGGAAAAAUAAAACUCUAAGCCUCUUGACAAAUUCAUUUGAAAUAUAAUGGGAAAAAAGGAUAAAAACUCCUAUCCCCCCUCUCCAAAAAAAUCCCAAAUCCUCAUGCUGAAAGCAAAUCUAAAUACAGAGAUAGACAGUUUGCUGAAGUUCAUUUAUUUAUUUCUUUCAGCAACACUGAAUACAUCCUUACCAUAUGAGAAUCUUUGUCGGACACACCUUGGAUGGAGGGGUACAUGCAAUCGGGUAGUAGAGAUAUAUCAGACUGAAAAAUGACUACAGUUUGGGACAUUCUAAGAAAGUUUAACCUAUCAGCUAAUAUCCAUGGAGUUCAUUGGGAGGGCAGAUAUGGAGUUGGUGAUGGUAUGGAAUCUGGAUAAAACAGAAGUGAUUCAUCUGGAAAAUUCUUUUCUUUUUUUUUUUGAGACGAAGUUUCACUCUUUUUGCCCAGGCUGGAGUGCAAUGGUGCAAUCUUGGCUCGCCACAACCUCUGCCUCCCUGGUUCAAGCAAUUCUCCUGCUUCAGCCUUUCUGAGUAGCUGGAAUUACAGGCAUGCACCACCAUGCCCGGCUAAUUUUGUAUUUUUAGGAGAGACGGGGUUUCUUCAUGUUUGUCAGGCUGGUCUCGAACUCCCGACCUCAGAUGAUCUGUCUGCCUCGGCCUCCCAAAGUGCUGGGAUUACAGGCAUGAGCCAUCGCACCCAGCCCAUCUGGAAAAUUCUAACAAGUGUUAGACCCCCACCAGGAAAUUGACCACAAUCUGCAUAUUGUUGAAUAUUUACUGAAUGUCAUCAGUGAUUUGGUCUAUGUUAAAUAUCUAGGGCUAUCCAAGGGCCUUGAAGCCAGGAAACUGAGGUGCAAACGUAUUCAGAGAAGUGCUUUCAAAUAAAUUUAUCUUCAUGCCUUUUUCUGAAGU